UACGUAGGGUGCGAGCGUUGUCCGGAAUUAUUGGGCGUAAAGGGCUCGUAGGCGGUUUGUCGCGUCGGGAGUGAAACUGGAGGCUCAACCUCCAGCCUGCAGUGGGUACGGGCAGACUAGAGUGCGGUAGGGGAGAUUGGAAUUCCUGGUGUAGCGGUGGAAUGCGUAGAUAUCUGGAGGAACACCGGUGGCGAAGGCGGCUACGCUGGCCUCUUCUGACGCUGAGGCGCGAAAGCUAGGGAGCAACGGG
rnacentral:rRNA from 1 species